CGGAGGGAGAAGGGGGACAGGAGCUGGUUCCCAAGGGAGAGAAAGACCCUGGACCUGGCUGAACAGGACUGCGGUCACCAGAGGGAGGUGUGGGCCGGGGAAGUCCUCCAACUGCUGCCCCAGCUGAACAAACUGUCCCUCAACCCCAUCCAAUUUCCAUGCUCACCUAGCAACGCUAGUGUUUUUCUAAAAUAAUUUUUAUUAUCAAACAGUACCUGCUCAUAAAAGAAAAAAAAUUAAAAAUGCAUAAAAUAGAAGGAAAACACCCUUGCUUUCAUCACUCCUGGUUACAUUUUGGAGUAUUUCAUUUCAGCCUUUUUCAUAUAAUUAUCAUGUCUCAAUAAUGAUCAUAUUGUACUCAUUAUUUUAACUCACGUCUUUUAUCCAAACACAUUUUCCCAUUAUAAGCCCUCUGCAGUCAUCAUUUUCAAUGAGCAUAUAUGGUCUGUUGAGUGGAAUCUAUUAUCUGUCUGUCAUCUAUCCAUCCAUCUGUUUUUCUGUUGUACCUCCACUGCACAGGCUAUAUUCUGUAUAGAAUUUACAUAUGCAUUCAGUGAUUGUUAUGCAAUGGCUGGUUACUUGGGCUGUUUCUCAGUAUUCGCCAUUAUAAUUAAUCCUGCCAGGAAUAUCUUGGUGCAGAAAGUUUCUUCAGUAUUCAAAUUAUUUCCGUAAGGGAGAUUCCCAGAAGCGGAGUUAUUAGAUCAAAGGGUUUGAGUGUCUUGAAGGCUCAUGACACUUGCCGCCAGAGCGCUUUCCAACAAUUCACUCUCCAGCUGGCAGCCUAUGAUUAAGCCCUCUCCCUGCACCGUCGCAACCACUGAGCAGGCUAAUUUUUAAUAGCUCUGCUAAUCUCUGAUGACCAGUUUAUGGCAAUCAGCGGUGUCCUAGGAAAGACGGGAGCUGCCCUAGAGUAUCUCAUCUGGGAAAGCUCUGACCUGCAGUGGGGAUCAGGCCCUCUGGCUGGCCACCAGCCUGUUACCAUGUGAGCCAGUGCCCUGGGCAAGAUGAUAAAAUGGGGCUCUGGGGUCGGCUGAGCGAGGCCCAGAGCCACGGAUUCAAAGGCCAAAGGAUCCAAUUGGGCAUCUUUUUGGUCUCUCUUAACUGAAACCUUUUCUGGAGAAAGGUGGUAGAAGGGAGGAAGAGCAUGAGGCUGCCAGCCCCCGGGGAGGGCCACUGCUGACUGCCCCACAUUUAUUCCACUCCUGCCUUCUUCUGCCACCAGAGCUGCAAUUUGUUCAGGCAGUCACAUCAAUUUGCUGAUCUCAGGGAGGGUGAGUCCCACCCCAAGUCCUGGAGAUGAAUCGUGAUCGGACUACAGCAAGCUUAAUGAUAUCAUUCCCACUGGUCAGUCAUUGGUCUGGGACAGGCAUGUGAUGCACUUUUGGUCAAUCAGAGGAUGCAAAUGGAAUGGCAGAGGAACAGCAGCCAUCUUGUGACCAAGAGUUGAUAAGCAUGAGCACAAAAGCCAACACACCAAGGCUGGUUGAACGGAGAGAGGGACAGAGCCUGCGUCCUUGGGUAGCUAAUCCACUCACCGAUCCCCUGUUCCAAGACUACUUGUCAUGCAGAAGAACAACGUGACAUUUAGUUAUGAUACUUUGGCUGACUUCUCAGUUACUGGCAUCUGCAUGUAUUCCUACUAAGAGAUGGGCUGGCAUUCAUUCUGUACUGUGAUAAAUAACACUAGCUGCUGUAACAAACAGAGCCCAAAUCUCAGUGGCUAAACACAACAAAGUUUUAUUUUUUGUCUA